CAGCCAGCCCCUAGCGCAGACGGCGGAGAGCUGGGAUGGAGCGCGCCCUGGCCCGCUGGCCUUGGCCGCAGCUCCUCGGGAGAGCCGGGGCGCCCGCGCGAGAACCUCCCUACUUGGGUCUCUGUUCAAGGAUGACAUCAUCCGCUUGCCUCCCUGUCUUCAAGGACCACCUCUGGGUGCCAAGCUGAUGCCAAGGUGCUUGCUGCUCACCUCCACCUCAUGAGGAUGCUAGGAGCACGGAUUCCUGGAUGCCACCAGCAUACAAAGCAGCCACUGGCAGUGCCCCCCGGGACCAGGACGACGAAGGAUGAAGAGGACCAGAACUGACCAGCUGUCCCUCUUGGCUAACGGCUUAAACCAAUGCCCUAGUGAGGGGGCAUUGGUCAUUAACGCCGGACCUUUGCUAUGCUUCUGCCUUGAUGCUAUGACUGCUUUUCUGUGUGUCUCUGCUUGUGUUAACAUGUCAGCGACCUGGAGGGUUUCCAACCCCAGGGAGGUGUCAGUCUUUCUCAGUCCACUCCGUUGUUACCCCCGUGAUGUUCUGAAUGGAAGAGUCCCUGUGGGAACUUCUCAGGAGGGGGACCUGGGCCAAGGGCUUGACCAGCAUCUCACUGGCGAUUCCAAGGCCCAGGGUGGGCUUCUGGAAUGAGCAUGUGUCCCAACGCCGUGCUACUGAACUGCCAAGGGCAUCCCCACCACCUCUGAGAUCACCCUGUCCUUUCUGGGGAACGGGGUUGAGAAGAGCAACCUCCCAGGGUGUUGUGAGUAUUGAAUGAAUCCAAGCAGCCUUGGGUAGGGCCAGGCAUAGAGGAGGCGGUCAACAGAUGUUUGUUGAAACAGUUUGGUUGGCCAGUCCGUCCCUACCCCUCUCACCUGUCUUACACCUCUUAUUUAUUCUCCCGCAGCGCUCCGGACAGCCCUAGUCCACGGGGCUCUCCCUGCACCAGCCAAGCUUCUCGAAAGGCCUGUCUACACUUGCUGUCUUCCUUCCUCACCUCCAGUUUCCUCUCCAACCCACUGCUUCCUGACCUCUUCUACUCCGCUGAUCGGCUGUCACUAAGGUCAGCCCGUCCUCGACACCCUGGCGGCGACAGUCGGCUGAAGAACUGGAUGGAAGAGGCAGGAGAGUUGCCCUGGAACAGCGCUCCUUCAGGACGGUCACCUGGCAUCUCACGCCCACCUGGCGCCCCGCGACGCCCUCCUGGUUUGGGCUGAAGCCGUCUCGAAUCCUCCGUGGGACAGGACCGUGGACACGCCACCCCAGUACCCUCCAGCUCCAAAAUCGGCAGACUAGGAUGGAAGUGGCCUAGCUGGGGGGCCCUUCAAAGGGCCGAGGAGAAAACGCGGGCCAAGAGACCAGCCUCUCAAACAGGCUUCGAGCUGCAAUGACCUUCACUUACCUUCCCCCCCUUGAAAUGUCUGGAAAACGGAAUGGACAGAUUUUCUGUCUUCAAAGUUUCCGGCUAAACCUCUUCAAGUUCUUUAUUGUUUGGGACUGAGACACUCAGCAAUGGUAAUGGGUAGUUCCUUUUGUAUUUGCCUUGAAAGGCCAAAAUAUUUUUAUAUGGCUACAGACAAAGCCGUCUGUUUUCAGAUGAACUCUAUGUCCGUCGUUUCCCACCGGGGAGAUCAUGUAUACCGUGUGUGUCUCUGUGCACUCUUGGGUCUUGAAACAGGUUUCUCAUGGGGAUGGCCAUUCACAGGGGUCCACGGGGAAGCACCUGCCCCACCAAGGGGGCCUGGGGACUCUGACCCUCAUCUGUGUAGGAUGUGACCCCCGGGGGGGCGGCGGGUGUUCUGGCUGCACUAACAUGUACUCUGCCUGUGCCUGCAUCCGCCAUGCAUACGUGUCAAGGACUGUGGGCUGUGCUCACCUUGGUGGUUCACUUGGUGGGAAGAAGCUGGAAGGUCAAAUAUACUGUGAAUGUUCUAUUGUUCUGGUUGGGAGGUCAUUUUGCUGGGCUCUGUUACCUGGUCCAAAUAAGUGAAUGGAUGAAUAAAUGAAUGAAGGCAUGAAAGAGUGAAGAAACUAAUAAAUAGGUAAAGAGGCGUACCCUGAAGGAGAUCCAAUUUGAUGCACAGGAGCUCGAUAGAUAAGUCAAUAAAGCAUUGAAUCAAUAUAUAAAUAGGGCCACGCAGGAACCGAUGUCAGGUCAUCGUGGACUAAGGGAACACGUGCAAUUCAAGUAUAUAGCGCCUAAAGUCUGUCCAUAAAAGAAUAAAGCCUAGAUGAAAGGAUGAAUAAGAAGUCGAGAUGCAUAAACCAGUGGUGAGGGUGAGAUUAUGCGGCCCAUCAAAGUGAAAAGAUGCAAGAGAAAGGGCACAAAUGAUUGAAAGGAAGAAGAAAAACGGAAAGACGCAAAAUAAUAGCUAAGCAGGAAGAUGACUUUUAAAAUUAGGGGGUGAGAAAAUAUAUAAGGAGGACUAUGUCAGGUUAUUAGAAGCCAAGCAUUAGGAUUAGUCCAGAUACGUGCUCCAGCCAUAGAAAAAAAAGAGAAACAACAGAGGAAGAGUUCAAAAGAUAGUUAAAACCGAAAAAGGACCCGGGGGACCAGAGAUGAGAGUUAACUUUAACCAAAUUUUUCUAACUCUGGGCACACAUAAAUAAAUAAACACUGAAAUGAAAGAAAGCCAAAAAAAAAAAAAAAAAGAAAAAAAAGGAGAAAGGAAAGGAUGGGAUGAAUAAGUAGUGGACAUACUACUGUGGACCCAGAUGGGAGCGUGGCAGGAGGGGCUUUGAGUCAUCCAGUCCUGGGACCUGAGGUCUGUUCCAUGAAAGGAUGAAAAAAGAGAGACAACAAAAUAAAACAUCUAAAUAAAAAUCGAGAAAUACGGAAGAAAAAGUAACAAGUGUUCAGUCCAGGAAUACAUUAGUGGGUGAAUAAAUAAACAUAUAAAAGAAGGCAGUGCUAGGAGUCGAGUAAUAGACUGUCAUGAAUCAAGGGUUAUGGCUGGUCCAAUUCUAAAAGCCACAGUACUAUCAAAACAUAAUAAGUAUCACCAUAAAGAAGUGAAUGAGUAUCUAGAGAAACAAAGGCAUGAUAGAGUGAGGCGGGGAGGGGCCAUGGCCACAGGCACUCCUCAGGGGCCUGUUGGAAGGUUGUAAUUAAUCCCCCCCACCGUCUGGGCACCAAAGAUCCAGGAGGAUGAAAGAAGACAGAUGAGAAAGGAGGAGAUUUGGAAAGCUGCAACAAAAGAGAGAAAGAAAGAGUUAAGAGGUGGUAAAUGGGUAUAUUCUUGGAAGAGGGUUAGGCUGGGAGUGAUAAUAAAGGACCAGCCCAGACUGUAGAUCACAAUGGGUCAAAAUCUGGGCACUCCAUUAGUAGAGGAGUAUAUACCUAAUAAGAAGAAAAACACAGCAGGAAGGAAGAAUGCUAUGAAUGAAGGAAGGAAGGAAUGAAUGAAUGACACGCGGAGAGGCAGGGCCCCGGGAUGCCGUUUGCAGGUAACGUUAGGAUUCAUCAGUUCAUGGCACCAGAGCGCUGAAGAAUGAAAGAAUGCAAGAAAGAAAGAGUGAGAGAGUGAAAGAGAGAAACAGUGAAAGUGGGAGAGAAAUGAUAAAUCAGAGAUUAAAUUAGAAACGAAAAAGGAAAAAAGGAGAAAGGUAAUAUAUUAACAGACAGAUAGAUAAAUACAUAUAUAGGAGAGAGCAGCUCUAGGAGUAAGAAUGAGAGGGGGGCCUGAACCAAGCAGUGAUGAAUUCACAUCUGGGCUUCUGAGAUGGGCCGCCACCUACCCACCCAGGAGGCAGUUCAAAGCUGAAAUGCAUAAGGGAGGACCUCAGUGAGGCCAGGGAGGGGAAGGCCCACUGCUUGUAGAUGAUCAUGUACCCAAUUAGGUGCCCCUGCCAGCCAGAAGUGUAAAAACACUCACCAAAAAGGAAGAAAACCCGAAUGGAUGCAUGAAUGCAUGAAUGCAAGAGUGAAUGAGAAAAGAGAUUUGCAGUGACCAAGGAGGCCGGUCCUGCAGGGUGUUAGGAUUCAUCCAGUCCCUGGUGCCCGAUCUCCAAGAGAAGGAAAGGCGGUAAAAAAAAAAAAGGCUGAGAGACUGGUAGAAAAAAACAACUGAGAUUGGAGGAAAAAAAUAAAACAAUUUAAAAAAGGAGUAAAGAAGGUAAUAAAUUAGUGAGUCAUACAGUGAAGUCUGUGAGAAGGGACUGGCUUAGCACAGACCAUCCACAUUAAUUCAGAUCUCCGGCCCCGAAGUUGAUAAAUAAUAAAAACAAUCACAUAAAUAAAUGCCUGAAGGAAUAAAUUCACACAUUCCAUGAGAAUGUGAGAAAAAGUCUGAAAAGUUAUAGGAGGGACUGGGAGAAAGAAAGAUGAAAGAAAAGAAAAGAAAAUAGACCUGUGGAAGAAGAGGCACUUCCUGGAUGAGUACUUACAUAUAAUAAACAAAUAUUAGUCAUUAAAUACAAUAAUUAGUAAGAGCUGAGGUUCAUCAUAAAGAAAGAAUAAGUAGAGGGAUGGCUGUGUGAACAAAUGAAUGAGAAGAAUGAUUUUGAUUAAUUCACGUCUGCACCCGAGGCUCACGGGAAUAAAAGAAUGCAAAAAAGAGAGCGGUGAAGGAGGGGCGUAGACAAUUAUGACAGGAUGGAUAUUAGCAAUAAAAACAUAUUGAAGGAAUAAAUCAAUACGUACAUAAUUCUACGAGAGAGAGGGCCAUGUUAGAACAAAAAAACGAGACGGCACCGCGAGCCAGGAAUUAUGACUGAUUCAAAACUGGGCUCUUGAGAUAGUUAAAUAAAUCCUCAACCAAAUCACCAGUAUGAGGAAUUAACAAACAAAAGCGAGCCCCACAUGGACCGGUGCUGAGAAGGCUCCGGGAACCACAGAUGAUGGUUAAUCCAAUUCUGUGCACCUGAGGUCCAUAAAUAAAAGAAUAAAUAUUGAAAUAAAAGAGUGACAGAAAGAAUGAAUGGACCCAUGAACAACUGAAUUAGAAAUGGAAACGCCUGGAACGGCCAGGAGCGCGUCGCCCAUGGGAUUGUCACUCAUCUCACUCCGGACACCUGAGGUUCCUAAGAGUGAAAAGAUGCAAGAAAAAAAAAAAUAACAGAACACAUCAGGGAGUCAAAGAAAGAGGUGAGGGAAGGCAAAGUGAAACUAAGUGAAAGAGAAAGGCGGGGUGGGGGAGGGACUAAUAAAAAGCUAACGAAGACGUGGGUGUGUCUGAGAGGAGGAUGUGUUAGGAUUAGGGAUGAGGUCGUCAUCAAUCCCAAUGAUGGAUGAGCUCAUCCAAUCCCCUUUUUUAGGGCAAGGGAGGAUGGAGAGAUGAAAAAAAAGAGAAGUGAAAAAAGGAGAAAGGAAGGAUGAUAAACCUACAACCAAGGUGAUAAAUGGUUAGUUAAAAGAGAGGUUGUCUGAGCAGGGAUUAUAAUUAGUUUACAUACGUACUCCUUAAAUAGAUAAAUACAUCACACCUUUCCAAGAAUAAAUGAAAAAUAGAGGAAAUACCCGACCCAAAGACAAGGCUGCAUCUUCCAGCCUUUUAUCAUCUUUAUGUAAUAAAAUAUAUGCAAUUGAGGUCCAUAAAUAAAAGAAUAAGUAGCAAAGUGUAAAACGUGACUAAGGGCGAGGAAGAAAGAUAGCAAAGGCAAAUCAACACGUGGGCCAACGAUGGUGAUCUUGCAAAGGCAAAUCAACGCACGGGCCAACGAUGGUGAUCUUGCAAAGGCAAAUCAACACGUGGGCCAACGAUGGUGAUCUUGCAAAGGCAAAUCAACGCACGGGCCAACGAUGGUGAUCUUGCAAAGGCAAAUCAACACACGGGCCAACGAUGGUUAUUUUGCACAUGCAGUUUUGACUAAUACAAUUAUUUCCCAGGAGACUGGUAAGUAAAAGAAUACCCAAAAUAAGAAAGAAAGGAAGGGCAAAUGCAUGAGUGCAUAAAUGAAUGAAUGAAUGAAUGAGAGGUGGUGCUGCCUGGACCAGGGACAGGAGGAUGUCGCUCACGGGAGCCCGAUUCAUCCUUCUGUGCACCUGAGUUUGUAAGAAUGAAGGAACGGAAGGAAGAGUGAGAGAAAGGGAGAAAUACAAAAGAGAGGAAUAAGGAAUCAAAAUGAUGUAUAAACGAAUAAAUAGGAGAAGGGAGAGCUUCAUGGACGAGGGGCUGUGAUUAAUCGAAAGUCGUGCUGUUGAAGUCGGUAAAUAAAGGCGUCAAAUCUAAAUGAAUGAACGAAUGAGCGACUGGAAGAAAUGCAUGAAUGACUGGAAGGAAGUGAGGGAGGAAGGAAGGAAGGAAGGAGGGAAGGAGGGAAGGAAGGAAAAAGGAAGGAAGAAAUAGUAGGCAGAGAGGAAGGGAGGACUCUUCCAGUUUGGGGUCCCUGGGUUCCCGCCAGCCGAAGGGAGUGGGUACCAGGGAGGCGUGGCUCUUGGCAUGUUAUGUGCUUGUCACCUGCACUUUCUUGGCGGGAGGAGCUGGCUCAGGAGGACCCUUGCCUUGGAGCGCCACUGUCACACCCUGGCUGUGGGGGCCAUUUCACUUCAUUGCUCUCAUUCUCAGUUUCCCCAUCUGUAAACUCGGAAUGGCAUCAGCUCCCCGCUUGGACGGAUCGUGGGGCAGAUGCUGUCCUGCGUGUUGGCAGUGUCCCGUCGGAAGGGCUCAGGCCCCGGGCCCUGCCGAAGGUUGUGGGAACUGGACGUGGGUCACCUGCGAGGGAGGCUUUUCCCGCCAGGGGGCAGCAGAGGGUCAGGGAGCGGGAGACCCUGGGGGCUGUGUGGGCCCCGCCCGCUGCGCUGUCCUGGGAGGGGCGCCACUCACAUCCAGGGCCUGUGCAGGUGGCUUGGGAAGGGGGCCAGUAGGGGCCAGAUCACCAGAAAUCGUGUUCCCGCAACUUUCCGAAAUGUGCCCGGGAGCCCACCAGCCCGGUCUUCUACGGGGUGGGCUGCCUUCCCUUCUCGAGUCAGGGGGUCCCGGGGCAGGUGCCUCUCAGCCCGGGGUUUGCAGAAGUGGUCCCAGGAUCCCGGCCCCCUCGCCCUGGCAUCCCCAGAGCCGGUUUCAAGGCCUUGCUGUCUUCUCGACUGUUUUCCGAUGUACUCUCUGUAUUUCGGCGGAAAGCGCGUUUGCACUGUGUGUUGUUGAACUUGUCCUCUCCCCUCCUGACCUGCCUUCCCCCGCCCCCCGCCCCCCUGCCGGGGUUGGGGGCUGUUUGUACUGGCGCUUCCGACCCCAGGGACGCCCUGGCUCUGUGCAGUCUCCUUUCUCUGUACCGGACAGGAUUUGUGCACUUGUGUGUGUGUUGUGUGCCUGUGUUUGUCUCUAAAACUGAGCACCAGAGGCCCUCUGGACUUCUCGAUUCCGAUCUGGGAGAUUAAAAAAAAAAAACUGGAUUCCUAACAAGCGCCCUGAACAGGAGGAGCCAGCUUGGCUGGACCCAGGAUCGUGGCUGGGAGAGCGCGGAGCGCAGGGGGGUUGGGUGCGGCUGGGGCUAGCGUUUUGCCUGGUGGGGGGGAGGUGCCACGUGUCUGGGCCACGUGAGCAGGGCCUCGUGGGCCUGAGGUGGCGCUGGGGCUUCAGGGCUCUGCACGCUUAUUAACCCUGAAGACACCUGUUCAGAGGGGGUCUCCAGAGAGCCCCCCGAACAGCCCAGGUGUCAUCGUGGGGACCAGAGUGGGGGUGGCAGGGGCUUGGGGCAGGAAGAGCCUGGGAGGGUCUUUUUGGAGAACCCUUGUGUGGUUUUAAAAGUCAGCUGAGGGUCGAGAAGACUUAGAAAGUAUUGGGGAGAAGUUGGGGGCCACGGCCAUGUGCACAGAGGAACUAGGGAGGGACAGGAGAGCAAACCUCUCGGGGAGCCUCUCCCCAGGUCCGAGGGGCUGUCGAGGGGGUCACCUGGAUGGAAAUGGGCUGGUGGGAGAAUGCCCCAGUGGGGAGGGUGGGUUGGGAUUGGGUGAGUUCUGUCUGUUUAGGAAUGUUGAGGGCCUGAGGGUCAUCGGGUCAGAGCUCUUAAGAGCUUGGGAUCCAGCAUUCUAAGGGUCUCCAGUUCUGAGAUGCCGAGUUUCAGGACAGGGCUUGAGGGCCGUAGAAGCCGGGGGUGGAGUUUCCACAUGGGCCCCCAUCUGGUUCUGUCCACGCUUGAUCCAUGAGGUCCAAGAUGGGAUCUCAGCACUCCUCUCUGAUCAGGGCUUAUCUCAAGUGUGUGUUUCUUCUUCUCACUCUUUGAAAAAAAGACAAAUUUUGUCUGUUGACUUUGACCUUUGCAUGCACCCCUUGCACAAAUCCUUCCCCUGGUGACACCAGGAGCUACAAGUCUCCUUGGAUUUCUGUACAACUCCCAACUCCCUCCUCAGGAAGCUUGGCCUCGGGGCUGGCCUUCCAGAGGGUGAAGGACGGAGGCUGGGCCUCUGGGGCAGAUGGGCCAAGGGCUCCCCUGUGAUCCUAAUGUAAACGGUGUGGAUAGCACAUGACCUAGAGCAGGAGAUCACCCAUCAUUCGACAUGUCACCCAUCUUUAUUUCUUCCCUUCCAAUUCCUGUUUAUGAGCACACUUUUUUUUAAUGGACAUCUACUUUUUUAAAUGAGCGUUCAUUUUUUAAACCUAAUUGCCAUUCUUCACCACAUACACUUCUUUUUUUUUUACAGUUUGCCUUUUCCACUUAAUAUUCCAUCGUCAACAUUUUUCUUUCUUCCAUAGACUUCAUCACGUCACUGGCUGCCUUGUGUCUCAUUGAGAGGCUAUGUCAAUCAUUCCCCACAUCAACCUGCUAUUGUUACUAUUGCUAUGCAUAAUUCAUCUUUUUUUUUAAUGUUACAAAUUAUGCCACAGCUAAUGGCUUAGCACACCCACUUUUUUUUUU